rnacentral:lncRNA from 1 species
CUGUUUGGGACAUGUGAUAUCUGUUAAAUUUAACACAAAUUUUGCACCUGUGUAUGCAUAUGUAAAAUGGUAAUUGUUUAGCACUUCAGCAUCUAUUUAUUAAAAUAUACACUGUGGUUUCGAUUAAUGAAAGUAAUUUAUUAACACCACUCGAAUACAGCGAAAUAUCGUACACGGAUCGGCAACGCCUUGGAGGACUCGGCCUCUGGACCUACCGUGCGUAUAACAAGUCAGACUUGUUCGAAUUCGGAACGGAUUUUUGUUAAAGACGCGUGGUCUAUCGCUCGACCUCUCGAUCGGUUCUGGUUGCUCGCAAUACCCGCUCAUCACGACAGCUCAACUCUCAAAGGUGAUUCGCGGAUUUAGUUAUAAGGAGGACCCAAUAAGAAGGCUGCAAUCAUUUCUAUUGGAUGGUCGGCAUUGAACAAUCAGAUCCGAUAAGUCGCUCUGAUCAGACACCGCAAGAUUGUGGCAUCGUUGGUCUUGACGGCGCGACGGAUUCAGAGGAACCGCCGCUACCGCGAGCAGAGUGAUUUGUGACACUCUUCGCAUAACAAACUCGCUAUUUGAUAUAAAACGAUUCGCGCUAUCUUUGAUAAAUUAAGGAUUACCUUGGAUAAAGAGAACACGUCCAUACCACGCAACAACACGCUGACACGAUGAAAGAACCAGUAAGAACUGAAAAGAACGCAAGAAUGCCAACAACGAAAA